rnacentral:tRNA from 1 species
UCCCUAGUGGUCCAGUGAUUAGGACUCCACGCUUUUACUGUGGAGGACACAGGUUUGAUCCCUUGUCGAGGAA